rnacentral:rRNA from 1 species
ACCUACGGGGGGCAGCAGUGGGGAAUAUUGCACAAUGGGGGAAACCCUGAUGCAGCGACGCCGCGUGGGUGAAGAAGCGUUUCGGCGCGUAAAGCUCUGUCAGCGGGGAAGAAACACGGUUCGCGAGAGCCGCGGACGGUACCCGACCAAGAAGCCCCGGCUAACUACGUGCCAGCAGCCGCGGUAAUACGUAGGGGGCAAGCGUUAUCCGGAAUUACUGGGUGUAAAGGGAGCGUAGACGGCUGUGCAAGUCUGAAGUGAAAGCCCGUGGCUCAACCGCGGAACUGCUUUGGAAACUGUAUGGC